rnacentral:rRNA from 1 species
AUGAACGCUGGCGGCAGGCUUAACACAUGCAAGUCGAGGGGUAUAGUUCUUCGGAAUUAGAGACCGGCGCACGGGUGCGUAACGCGUAUGCAAUCUACCUUUCACAGAGGGAUAGCCCAGAGAAAUUUGGAUUAAUACCUCAUAGUAUAUAGAGUUGGCAUCAACAUUAUAUUAAAGUCACAACGGUGAAAGAUGAGCAUGCGUCCCAUUAGCUAGUUGGUAAGGUAACGGCUUACCAAGGCGACGAUGGGUAGGGGUCCUGAGAGGGAGAUCCCCCACACUGGUACUGAGACACGGACCAGACUCCUACGGGAGGCAGCAGUGAGGAAUAUUGGACAAUGGGCGCAAGCCUGAUCCAGCCAUGCCGCGUGCAGGAUGACGGUCCUAUGGAUUGUAAACUGCUUUUAUACGAGAAGAAACACCUCUACGUGUAGAGACUUGACGGUAUCGUAAGAAUAAGGAUCGGCUAACUCCGU